rnacentral:rRNA from 1 species
GAGUGAACGCUGGCGGUAGGCCUAACACAUGCAAGUCGAACGGCAGCACAGUAAGAGCUUGCUCUUACGGGUGGCGAGUGGCGGACGGGUGAGGAAUACAUCGGAAUCUACUUUUUCGUGGGGGAUAACGUAGGGAAACUUACGCUAAUACCGCAUACGACCUACGGGUGAAAGCAGGGGAUCUUCGGACCUUGCGCGAUUGAAUGAGCCGAUGUCGGAUUAGCUAGUCGGCGGGGUAAAGGCCCACCAAGGCGACGAUCCGUAGCUGGUCUGAGAGGAUGAUCAGCCACACUGGAACUGAGACACGGUCCAGACUCCUACGGGAGGCAGCAGUGGGGAAUAUUGGACAAUGGGCGCAAGCCUGAUCCAGCCAUACCGCGUGGGUGAAGAAGGCCUUCGGGUUGUAAAGCCCUUUUGUUGGGAAAGAAAAGCAGCAGGUUAAUACCCCGCUGUUCUGACGGUACCCAAAGAAUAAGCACCGGCUAACUUCGUG